AUUGAACGCUGGCGGCAGGCUUAACACAUGCAAGUCGAGCGGGGGAAGGUAGCUUGCUACCGGACCUAGCGGCGGACGGGUGAGUAAUGCUUAGGAAUCUGCCUAUUAGUGGGGGACAACAUCUCGAAAGGGAUGCUAAUACCGCAUACGUCCUACGGGAGAAAGCAGGGGAUCUUCGGACCUUGCGCUAAUAGAUGAGCCUAAGUCGGAUUAGCUAGUUGGUGGGGUAAAGGCCUACCAAGGCGACGAUCUGUAGCGGGUCUGAGAGGAUGAUCCGCCACACUGGGACUGAGACACGGCCCAGACUCCUACGGGAGGCAGCAGUGGGGAAUAUUGGACAAUGGGGGGAACCCUGAUCCAGCCAUGCCGCGUGCGUGAAGAAGGCCUUAUGGUUGUAAAGCACUUUAAGCGAGGAGGAGGCUACUUUAGUUAAUACCUAGAGAUAGUGGACGUUACUCGCAGAAUAAGCACCGGCUAACUCUGUG
rnacentral:rRNA from 1 species